AACGUAGGUCACAAGCGUUGUCCGGAAUUACUGGGUGUAAAGGGAGCGCAGGCGGGAAGACAAGUUGGAAGUGAAAUCCAUGGGCUCAACCCAUGAACUGCUUUCAAAACUGUUUUUCUUGAGUAGUGCAGAGGUAGGCGGAAUUCCCGGUGUAGCGGUGGAAUGCGUAGAUAUCGGGAGGAACACCAGCGGCGAAGGCGGCCUACUGGGCACCAACUGACGCUGAGGCUCGAAAGUGUGGGUAGCAAACAGG
rnacentral:rRNA from 1 species